AUUGAACGCUGGCGGCAGGCCUAACACAUGCAAGUCGAGCGGAUGACGGGAGCUUGCUCCUUGAUUCAGCGGCGGACGGGUGAGUAAUGCCUAGGAAUCUGCCUGGUAGUGGGGGACAACGUUUCGAAAGGAACGCUAAUACCGCAUACGUCCUACGGGAGAAAGCAGGGGACCUUCGGGCCUUGCGCUAUCAGAUGAGCCUAGGUCGGAUUAGCUAGUUGGUGGGGUAAUGGCUCACCAAGGCGACGAUCCGUAACUGGUCUGAGAGGAUGAUACGUCACACUGGAACUGGGACACGGUCCAGACUCCUACGGGAGGCAGCAGUGGGGAAUAUUGGACAAUGGGCGAAAGCCUGAUCCAGCCAUGCCGCGUGUGUGAAGAAGGUCUUCGGAUUGUAAAGCACUUUAAGUUGGGAGGAAGGGCGGUAAGUUAAUACCUUGCUGUUUUGACGUUACCGACAGAAUAAGCACCGGCUAACUCUGUGCCAGCAGCCGCCGCCGUAA
rnacentral:rRNA from 1 species